GUGCCGCCGCCGCGGUAAUACAGAGGGUGCAAGCGUUAAUCGGAUUUACUGGGCGUAAAGCGCGCGUAGGUGGCCAAUUAAGUCAAAUGUGAAAUCCCCGAGCUUAACCUGGGAAUUGCAUUCGAUACUGGUUGGCUAGAGUAUGGGAGAGGAUGGUAGAAUUCCAGGUGUAGCGGUGAAAUGCGUAGAGAUCUGGAGGAAUACCGAUGGCGAAGGCAGCCAUCUGGCCUAAUACUGACACUGAGGUGCGAAAGCAUGGGGAGCAAACAGGAUUAGAUACCCCCGUAGUCC
rnacentral:rRNA from 1 species